rnacentral:rRNA from 1 species
UAUAGCUUGCUAUAAAGAAUAGUUAGUGGCAGACGGGUGAGUAAUGCAUAGGAAUCUACCUAGUAGUAUGGGAUAGCCACUAGAAAUGGUGGGUAAUACUGUAUAAUCCCUGCGGGGGAAAGAUUUAUCGCUAUUAGAUGAGCCUAUGUUAGAUUAGCUAGUUGGUAGGGUAAAGGCCUACCAAGGCGAUGAUCUAUAGCUGGUCUGAGAGGAUGAUCAGCCACACUGGAACUGAGAUACGGUCCAGACUCCUACGGGAGGCAGCAGUGGGGAAUAUUGGACAAUGGGCGCAAGCCUGAUCCAGCUAUGCCGCGUGAGUGAGGAAGGCCUUAGGGUUGUAAAACUCUUUCAGUAGGGAAGAUAAUGACGGUACCUACAGAAGAAGUCCCGGCAAACUCCGUGCCAGCAGCCGCGGUAAUACGGAGGGGGCAAGCGUUGUUCGGAAUUAUUGGGCGUAAAGG